rnacentral:rRNA from 1 species
UACGGAGGAGGCAAGCGUUAUCCGGAAUUAUUGGGCGUAAAGCGUCCGCAGGUGGCAGUUCAAGUCUGCUGUCAAAGACCGGGGCUUAACUUCGGAAAGGCAGUGGAAACUGAACAGCUAGAGUAUGGUAGGGGCAGAGGGAAUUCCUGGUGUAGCGGUGAAAUGCGUAGAGAUCAGGAAGAACACCGGUGGCGAAGGCGCUCCGCUGGACCAUAACUGACACUGAGGGACGAAAGCCAGGGGAGCGAAUGGG